AGGGCCAGGGAUAGAGCCUGCAACCAAGUUUCAUGAAAGAGCCAAAUAUCUUAAAGGAAGAGUUUUCGCCAUGGCAGUGAUCUCAGUGACAGCUUUGGACAAAAGCAAGAUUUCCACUCUUCCAUACCUCCAAAAACAGAUCCCUUCAAAGAUCGUCCUGAGAAGAACAAGUAGCCAUUGAUGUUGAGCUGGACACCAUAAUCCAAGAGCCCAACAAUCACACAGACCCCAUGGCUCUCGUGGCAGGAGGCCAGGGCAGCUGCCUGUUGUAAAACAAUGCAAGACAAUGCAGGGGUUAAAAGAUGUGCCUCAGAGGUAGGAACCUAAGUCUAAACCUCAGCUUGACUGCUGAGUGGGCUGUGGCCUUCUUUUCUGGUUUUCUCUGUCCUCUGAAAUAACAUUUAUCUUAUAAGGAAAUGCUGAAACAUAAAUAAGGCAUUGUGUACUGCCAAGUAUAUAUAGUAUCUGGCAUUUUAGAUUCAACAGAUAGAAAUUAAAAAAUGAAAAUACUAAAGGUACCCAUGGUAGUAAUACUACUGUAGCUACUAC